AAACGUUGCUCGGAAUUAUUGGGCGUAAAGCGCACGUAGGCGGCUUGGCAAGUCGGAUGUGAAAUCCCUCGGCUCAACCAAGGAAGUGCAUCCGAAACUGCUGAGCUUGAGUACUUAAGAGGAUCGCGGAAUUCCCGGUGUAGAGGUGAAAUUCGUAGAUAUCGGGAGGAACACCAGUGGCGAAGGCGGCGAUCUGGGAAGAUACUGACGCUGAGGUGCGAAAGCGUGGGGAGCAAACAGG
rnacentral:rRNA from 1 species